GUAACUGGAUAAUUUUAUAACCUAAGCAUUCGAUUGUGUGGACAUUGAGAUAAUAGUGCAAUUAUAAAUUAAGAGUUUGAGCGAGAAUACUCUGUAUUGACAUUUAGUGCUGAUGAAAAAAAUCAGCGAAGAUAUAAUAUAUCAAAUAUUCAUGCAUGUCACUGAUGUUAAAAAUGAAAUAUUAAUCAAAAAUCGCCGCAUUUAAUCUUAUCAAAAACUGCAUAACUUUGUAAAGUCAUGCAGUUUUUUUUUACAACACUGUUCUCACGAUGCGAGGUUUAGUUGAUCAAUCUUACGAUUUUGAUCUGAAAUCGUAGUGAAGAAAAUCAUUACGGAACAAGAGCACGCAAACGAAAUUUUUUUAGAAGGCUUUCUUGAAAAAGAUUGUUGUGUGUUAGCGUAAGAUGGAAACUGUGAAAUACUAUGCGAAUUUUAUAGAUCCUCACUGGAUUACCGUAGUAGCAACUGGUUUAUAUACUCAUUUGCGACAAAUCUGCAUAAUUGGUCUCUGUUUUGAGGAGGAGAACGCUUUGCCUUUUGAUCCGUCAUAUGCGUCAGUAUUAUUUGUGUUCUCAGUUUUGUGCUUAUUAGCAGAAUACAGAUUAUGGCCUAUAACUCUUAAAGAACCACCAAUCCAGCUAUUAUACAUUUACGAAAUGUUAAUAGCUGCAUUGAGCACAAAUUUAGCAAUCCAAAUGAUAUGGAUACCAAUGAUGCAUGCAAUUUUCUGUCUCACUCAAGAAUCUAGUAAGUGGUUGUUAUGGUUGAAUAGUAAUAUGGGCUAUUCUUGGUUAACUUUCUUUGCGGAUUACAUGGCUAGAGAUUAUGCAGCCACGUACAUGGCAUUUUGCAUGUCAUUAUUGUCGUUUGUGUGGAUGCUAGACGCCACCGAAUCACUGGACGCGUUUUUGGAUACAUGGAGCAAGUAGUGAAUUCUGAAAACUUCAAAUUUUAUCCACAAAAUUGUCCGUCAUGUAAUAAAAUUACAAAGCAGUUUAUCAACUCACGUGUACUAUUCACGAAUGCAAGACAUCCCAAACGCAAAAAGGUUACUUUCAGCAAUCCUGAAGUGACUCAAUCAUUCUUUUAUAAGUUCUGUCAGAUGCGUCCUUUUACCACAAAUUUUAGAAAUCAUAAUUUUUUGUAAUCUGCUAUAUUUUGACUGUAUAUGUCCUUAUGUUUAAUAAAUAUCUAGUAAUAUUUUAUAAAAU